GACGAACGCUGGCGGCGUGCUUAACACAUGCAAGUCGAACGGAAAGGCCCUCCUUUGGUGUGUUGCUAGAGGGGCAAAGGGGUGUAAAACGCGUGCAUACCCUCCCUUUGAUUUUGGUAGACAUGCAGAAAAGUGGGUCUAAUACCGGAUUGCGGCUCUUCCGCAUGGGUGGGGGUUGGAAGCUUCGGGCGGGUGGGGAUGGACUCGCGGCUUAUCAGCUUGUUGGUGGGGUAGUGGCUUACCAAGGCUUUGAGGGGUAGCGGGCUUGAGAGGGUGACCGGCCACAUUGGGACUGAGACACGGCCCAGACUCCUACGGGAGGCAGCAGUGGGGAAUAUUGCACAAUGGGCGGAAGCCUGAUGCAGCAACGCCGCGUGCGGGAUGACGGCCUUCGGGUUGUAAACCGCUUUCGCCUGUGACGAAGCGUGAGUGACGGUAAUGGGUAAAGAAGCACCGGCUAACUACGUG
rnacentral:rRNA from 1 species